rnacentral:snRNA from 1 species
AGACAUGACAAUGAUCUGGUUACACCUGUCACCCUGCCCAUCACCCAAGCUGAUCCUGCUGACUAANCCAGCAUCUUCUUCCUCCCUCAUUGUUCCUUAUGUAUUCCUCCUGAAGCUGAACUGCUCUCUGUCAAAAGAGAUGGACUUUCUCCAGCAGAGAGGACCAUUCAAGGUCUACAAGCAUUUGAACUCUUCUGUAAGAUCCUCCAAACAAGCUCUCACGGUCCAUAAAUCAUCCAUGUAUGUUGAAAGUCAAAGCAGAGAUUGUCCCACUAGAUCAAUUAACUAU